rnacentral:rRNA from 1 species
UGGGGAAUAUUGCACAAUGGGCGAAAGCCUGAUGCAGCAAUGCCGCGUGAGUGAUGAAGGCCUUCGGGUUGUAAAGCUCUGUCUUUUGGGACGAUAAUGACGGUACCAAAGGAGGAAGCCACGGCUAACUACGUGCCAGCAGCCGCGGUAAUACGUAGGUGGCAAGCGUUGUCCGGAUUUACUGGGCGUAAAGGAUGCGUAGGCGGAUUUUUAAGUGAGAUGUGAAAUACCCGGGCUUAACUUGGGUGCUGCAUUUCAAACUGGGAAUCUAGAGUGCGGGAGAGGAGAAUGGAAUUCCUAGUGUAGCGGUGAAAUGCGUAGAGAUUAGGAAGAACACCAGUGGCGAAGGCGAUUCUCUGGACCGUAACUGACGCUGAGGCAUGAAAGCGUGGGUAGCAAACAGGAUUAGAUACCCUGGUAGUCCACGCCGUAAACGAUGAGUACUAGGUGUAGGAGGUAUCGACCCCUUCUGUGCCGCAGUUAACACAAUAAGUACUCCGCCUGGGAAGUACGAUCGCAAGAUUAAAACUCAAAGGAAUUGACGGGGUC